rnacentral:rRNA from 1 species
CGGACGGGUGAGUAAUGUCUGGGAAACUGCCCGAUGGAGGGGGAUAACUACUGGAAACGGUAGCUAAUACCGCAUAACGUCGCAAGACCAAAGAGGGGGACCUUCGGGCCUCUUGCCAUCGGAUGUGCUCAGAUGGGAUUAGCUAGUAGGUGGGGUAACGGCUCACCUAGGCGACGAUCCCUAGCUGGUCUGAGAGGAUGACCAGCCACACUGGAACUGAGACACGGUCCAG